AUGGAGCCGACCUUGAAAUACCACCCUUUAAUGUUUGAUGUUCUAACGUGGACCCGUGAUCCGGGUUGCGGACAGUGUCUGGUGGGUAGUUUGACUGGGGCGGUCUCCUCCUAAAGAGUAACGGAGGAGCACGAAGGUUGGCUAAUCCUGGUCGGACAUCAGGAGGUUAGUGCAAUGGCAUAAGCCAGCUUGACUGCGAGCGUGACGGCGCGAGCAGGUGCGAAAGCAGGUCAUAGUGAUCCGGUGGUUCUGAAUGGAAGGGCCAUCGCUCAACGGAUAAAAGGUACUCCGGGGAUAACAGGCUGAUACCGCCCAAGAGUUCAUAUCGACGGCGGUGUUUGGCACCUCGAUGUCGGCUCAUCACAUCCUGGGGCUGAAGUAGGUCCCAAGGGUAUGGCUGUUCGCCAUUUAAAGUGGUACGCGAGCUGGGUUUAGAACGUCGUGAGACAGUUCGGUCCCUAUCUGCCGUGGGCGCUGGAGAACUGAGGGGGGCUGCUCCUAGUACGAGAGGACCGGAGUGGACGCAUCACUGGUGUUCGGGUUGUCAUGCCAAUGGCACUGCCCGGUAGCUAAAUGCGGAAGAGAUAAGUGCUGAAAGCAUCUAAGCACGAAACUUGCCCCGAGAUGAGUUCUCCCUGAGACUUUAGGUCUCCUGAAGGAACGUUGAAGACGACGACGUUGAUAGGCCGGGUGUGUAAGCGCAGCGAUGCGUUGAGCUAACCGGUACUAAUGAACCGUGAGGCUUAACCUUACA
rnacentral:rRNA from 2 species